UACGUAGGUGGCGAGCGCUGUCCGGAAUUACUGGGUGUAAAGGGCGUGUAGGCGGGAAUGCAAGUCAGAUGUGAAAUGCCGGGGCUUAACCUCGGAGCUGCAUCUGAAACUGUGUUUCUUGAGGGUCGGAGAGGAAAGCGGAAUUCCCAGUGUAGCGGUGAAAUGCGUAGAUAUUGGGCGGAACACCAGUGGCGAAGGCGGCUUUCUGGACGAUAACUGACGCUGAGGCGAGAACGCGUGGGGAGCAAACAGG
rnacentral:rRNA from 1 species